GCCACUUUAGCUUAGUGGUAGAGCGCCUGCUUUGUAAGCAGAAAAUCGUUAGUUCAAUCCUGACAAGUGACU
rnacentral:tRNA from 1 species